rnacentral:rRNA from 1 species
UGCUCCUACGGGGGGCAGCAGUGAGGAAUAUUGGUCAAUAGGCGCAAGCCUGAACCAGCCAAGUCGCGUGAGGGAUGACGGUCCUAUGGAUUGUAAACCUCUUUUGUCGGGGAGCAAGGCCCGCCACGUGUGGCGGGAAGGAGAGUACCCGAAGAAAAAGCAUCGGCUAACUCCGUGCCAGCAGCCGCGGUAAUACGGAGGAUGCGAGCAGUAUCCGGAUUUAUUGGGUUUAAAGGGGGCGUAGGCGGAAGGGUAA